rnacentral:rRNA from 1 species
GACGAACGCUGGCGGCGUGCUUAACACAUGCAAGUCGAGCGGAGCGGCGAACGGGUGAGUCACGCGUGCGUAACUGCCCCCCUCCCUGGGAUAACAGUUGGAACCGGCUGCUAAUACCGGAUAGUGGGGGAUGACUCGCGUCCUAUCAGCUUGUUGGUGGGGUAGUGGCCUACCAAGGCGACGACGGGUAUCCGGCCUGAGAGGGCGACCGUCCACAUUGGGCUGAGAUACGGCGUAAUCGCCUACGGGAGAGAGCAGUGGGGAAUAUUGCGCACUGAGGGAAACGCGUAUGCAGCAAGGCGCGUGCGGGAUGACGGCCUUCGGGUUGUAAACCGCUUUCAGCCAUGACGCGGUAGUGGCAGAAGAAGCACCGGCUAACUACGUGCCAGCCGCCGCGGUAAUUC